GACGAACGCUGGCGGCGUGCUUAACACAUGCAAGUCGAACGAAGAGCGAUGGAAGCUUGCUUCUAUCAAUCUUAGUGGCGAACGGGUGAGUAACGCGUAAUCAACCUGCCCUUCAGAGGGGGACAACAGUUGGAAACGACUGCUAAUACCGCAUACGAUCUAACCUCGGCAUCGAGGAAAGAUGAAAGGUGGCCUCUAUUUAUAAGCUAUCACUGAAGGAGGGGAUUGCGUCUGAUUAGCUAGUUGGAGGGGUAACGGCCUACCAAGGCGAUGAUCAGUAGCCGGUCUGAGAGGAUGAACGGCCACAUUGGGACUGAGACACGGCCCAGACUCCUACGGGAGGCAGCAGUGGGGAAUCUUCCGCAAUGGACGAAAGUCUGACGGAGCAACGCCGCGUGAGUGAUGACGGCCUUCGGGUUGUAAAGCUCUGUUAAUCGGGACGAAAGGCCUUCUUGCGAACAGUNAGAAGGAUGACG
rnacentral:rRNA from 1 species